AGAGAUUUUGGAACAGGGAACCAGACUCCUAAACAACCAGUUUCGUAUCAAUCACCGAGAACAUUGAACCAAGACCCAUUGACACCACCAAUCACCACCACCAUUAACCAUGCCACCAAUACCCACAAAACCCUCCAUAACCCGGCAAAACAGUCUUAACCAAGAAAAACCCUAAAACACCAUCGCAAAUUUGAAUUCCCCCCCUAAUCCCACUACAAAACCCUCAAAUGGCUCAAUCUUGGAAAGUCAGAGAUCCUCGUACCCCUCACACUCCCAAUGGCCUAUAUCUUCAGACUUCAGUCACAUCUGUUGCCCCUUAAACCAGUUUGAAAAUGGUGACGUUGCUUAACUGUUUUCAUCACACUACCUAUGAGGCUAGAGCUGGUUUGUCUUUUUGGAUUUUCUCAAUUUGGGUGUUUGUUUAAUGCAUAUUUUAUUAUUUUUUACGUAUAUUUAUACACUUUUUACAUGUAUUUAUGCAUCACGAGUGUACUUUUCACACAAAUCAAUAUAGUAUUUUCCUUUGUCUAGUUGAUAACUGGAGGCCCUCUCAACUUCUGGUUCAGGGUUUGAUGAAUUUGCCCCGCAUUUGGAAUGUGCCAGAAUGCUCAGGCUAGAUUUGGUUUCUCUAUUCAUCUGAAGAUAAUAUUAGGAUAAUAACUGUGAGUGUGAGGCCGUAUUUGAAUCGAUGAUUUAUGUAGAGAAAAAAAAUAUGUGAGGGAUUUCCCUUCACAAACUCAAGUUGUGUUUCUCUGACAGUUUUUUUUAUCCAGACAAAUCUCUCCAAAAAUCAUUGAUCUAAGUACGGCCUAAUGAUCCAAGUAUGGCCUAAUGGCUAAUUAUAUUCAUCAUUAGGAAAAUAAUAAGGGACAGUUGAAUUUGGAAUUCCCAUUAUUGAACCGGUUGUCGCAGGAAGAGCUCUGAGAGGCUGGCUUUGGUUACAGGUUUUGUUUUGUUCUGUUAUUGUUUAACUACCUUUGUUUUGUUUUAUGUCAAUAUUCACUUGCUAAACUCGCUCCAAAGUAGUCAAGCCUGAAUUGUAUACUGCAGCCGGUGUUUGUUCAACUAGAAAGCCAUUGUUUAAUAAGCCAAGUCUCUGAUUAAUGGAGCGGGGGCACGAAAGCCUGUAAUGUAAUACUACCGUACGAGUGGGAGCGGCUUCAGAGCAUCCACACAUGCGCAUGAUUUAGAGCAUACUGUCAUUGCGUGCCAUGAAAAACCCAAAUUAGCUUGUCCCACAUCAUCAAGAGUUUGAAAAGGAUGAGGGUCUGUUGUUAUUGAACAGUCUCCCAAUCCCACAUUGCUUAAUAUGAGAAAACCUCAGGCUUUCUGGGUCUUAUAAGUUGACAUGGACAGCGGGCAAUUUUAUUGGAUACUAUAUAACACUGCACGAAUCACAACGUGCCAACUAACAAGUCUCUUUGGACGCCAUUCAUCUAGCAAGUGCAUAGCAAUCAUCAUUUUCAAUGGUGCGUCUAGUUUUUAUUUGUUUUGAGUUUAAGUUCGCGUACUGUUUGUACUGUCUUAUCAAAUUUUGUGCAAUAAUAAAAUGAAAAUCGAUUUUUGGGUUAAGUUUCUCACAAUUUGUUUAUUCGCUCAUUAAGAGCAGUAGGUGACCUAAGGUAAUAAAGGACAGUCUGCUGCCUAGAGAGUAUUUUACUCUAGCUGCCUGACUAAGUUGGGAGAAUUAAUUCUUGUAGUACUAGACAUCAUUUUGGGGAUUUAAGUCAUCUUUCUCUUAAGAUCUUCAAAACAUAUGUUUUUUGCUAAUGCUUUACGAGGAUGUUGUGUUUGUAAUAUGUUUGCUGUGUCGUGAAUUAUAGUUACCCAUAUGUCACACUCAUUUUGUUUUUAAAUGGUCGUUUGUUUUCAUGGACUCAAUUUGAUGUUGGCAUACGAAAUAAAACUAACGGGUACUAGGAUAAGUCUGCCUAAUCCAGGCACAUGCGUCCGUCUUAUUUGACUGUGAUGACAGCCUUAUGUAAAGGCUUUAAGGAAGAGAGUCUUGACAUCGUGAAGUUUAGAUUGUUAGAAUCAGUGCACAAUCAACAUGCCACUAGUGCAACUUGGCUUUAAUGUUGGUUGGUUUGGUUCAUUACAGGAACAAAAUGACUGUAUCUAUCAAAAUGACUGCGUGUGUGUGAGAGAGGAAUAAUUGACGUUGACAUACUUUUUUUCAAACCAAUUGUGCAGGUUGCUAUGAAUUCAAGAAAGCAUCAUAGAAGUGUUAUUAGACAAACAAUUCAUGAAAUUUCCACUGAAAAUAGUAAACAACAAGGCUUGCGUACGGGGUUCAAGUGUGUACCUCAGCCUUAAUCCGUAGAUGACACUAUUUAAAAGGAAUUUUAACCUUUAAAUAUUCGUAUUGAUUGUAUUUGUGUUCCUUCAAUACACUUCCAACCCCAUAUAUAGGAAUGUUUGUAUUUGUGUUUGGACUUUAGAGGAACCAAAAAGUCAUUUUUAUUUAUCCACAUUAUUAACGUUAUGUUUUUAAAUACUU
rnacentral:lncRNA from 1 species